rnacentral:rRNA from 1 species
CAUUGCUUGGGCGAAGCCCGACCGCCUGCCGCGUGUGUGAAGAAGGUCUUCGGAUUGUAAAGCACUUUAAGUUGGGAGGAAGGGCAGUUACCUAAUACGUGAUUGUUUUGACGUUACCGACAGAAUAAGCACCGGCUAACUCUGUGCCAGCAGCCGCGGUAAUACAGAGGGUGCAAGCGUUAAUCGGAAUUACUGGGCGUAAAGCGCGCGUAGGUGGUUUGUUAAGUUGGAUGUGAAAUCCCCGGGCUCAACCUGGGAACUGCAUUCAAAACUGACUGACUAGAGUAUGGUAGAGGGGGGUGGAAUUUCCUGUGUAGCGGUGAAGGGCGUAGAUAUAGGAAGGAACACCAAUGGCGAAGGCGACCACCUGGACUGAUACUGACACUGAGGUGCGAAAG